rnacentral:rRNA from 1 species
GGGAACGAUGGUACAGCGGCCGGGGUAGUGCGAGUGGGGGUAGGGGGUGUCUGGAGGACGUGGCGAAAAGCGGAAUGAGGCGGGGUGGGAAGGCGGGGGUGAAAUCCUGGUGAGUAAGUCGAGGACUGCCGUGGAUACGGGCGACCUGGAGUCCGGGGGAGGGGAGUGGAACGCCGAGUGGAGAGUUGAAAUUCGUAGAGUUGCGGAAGAACACCAGUGGCGAAGGCGGCGCCCUGGCCCGGUACUGACGCUGAGGUGCGAAAGCGUGGGGAGCAAACAGGAUUAGAUACCCUAGUAGUC